rnacentral:rRNA from 1 species
AAGUCGAGGGGCAGCAUUUCAGUUUGCUUGCAAACUGGAGAUGGCGACCGGCGCACGGGUGAGUAACACGUAUCCAACCUGCCGAUAACUCGGGGAUAGCCUUUCGAAAGAAAGAUUAAUACCCGAUGGUAUAAUCAGACCGCAUGGUUUCAUUAUUAAAGGAUUCCGGUAAAGGAUGGGGAUGCGUUCCAUUAGGUUGUUGGUGAGGUAACGGCUCACCAAGCCUUCGAUGGAUAGGGGUUCUGAGAGGAAGGUCCCCACAUUGGAACUGAGACACGGUCCAAACUCC